rnacentral:rRNA from 1 species
CAGUAGCCACGGUAAUACGAAGGGGGCUAGCGUUGUUCGGAUUUACUGGGCGUAAAGCGCACGUAGGCGGACUUUUAAGUCAGGGGUGAAAUCCCGGGGCUCAACCCCGGAACUGCCUUUGAUACUGGAAGUCUUGAGUAUGGUAGAGGUGAGUGGAAUUCCGAGUGUAGAGGUGAAAUUCGUAGAUAUUCGGAGGAACACCAGUGGCGAAGGCGGCUCACUGGACCAUUACUGACGCUGAGGUGCGAAAGCGUGGGGAGCAAACAGGAUUAGAUACCCGCGUAGUCCCUGUCUCUUAUAA